rnacentral:rRNA from 1 species
GUGCCAGCCGCCGCGGUAAUACGAACUGUGCGAACGUUACUCGGAAUCACUGGGCUUACAGGGUGCGUAGGUGGCUUGAUAAGCAGGGUGUGAAAUCCCUCGGCUCAACCGAGGAACUGCGCUCUGAACUGUCGGGCUAGAGUAUGCUAGAGGUGAAUGGAACAUCCAGUGGAGCGGUGAAAUGUGUUGAUAUUGGAUGGAACACCAGAGGCGAAGGCGAUUCACUGGGGCAUAACUGACACUGAGGCACGAAAGCCAGGGGAGCAAACGGGAUUAGAAACCCUCGUAGUCC